GGUCCUCAAAGAUUGUAGAGCCAUGUAAUGGGUGGGUUGGAAGGGUCCUUGAAAGUCAUAGAGUCAUGGGAUGGUUGGGUUGGAAGGGUCCUUGAAGAUCAUCGAGCCAUGGGAUGGUUGGGUUGGAAGGGUCCUUACAGAUCACAGAACUACUGAAUGGUUGGGUUGGAAGGGUCCUUAGAGAUCACAGAACGACUGAAUGGUUGUGUUGGAAAGGUCCUUGCAGAUCAAAGAACCACAGACUCGGUGUGUUGGAAGGGUCCUGACAGAUCACAGAAGCACAGAAUGGUUGGGUUGGGUUGGAAGGGUCCUUACAGAUCACAGAACCACAGAUUGGUUGGAAGGGUCCUUACAGAUCACAGAAACACAGAACGGUUGGGUUGGAAGAGUCCUUACAGGUCACAGAACCACUGGAUGGUUGUGUUGGAAGGGCCCUUACAGAUCACAGAACCACUGAAUGGUUGUGUUGGAAGGGUCCUGACAGAUCACAGAAGCACAGAGCGGUUGUGUUGGAAAGGUCCUUACAGAUCACAGAACCACUGAAUGGUUGGGUUGGAAGGGUCCUGACAGGUCACAGAACGACUGAAUGGUUGUGUUGGAAAGGUCCUUGCAGAUCAAAGAACCACAGACUCGUUGUGUUGGAAGGGUCCUGACAGAUCACAGAACCACAGAUUGGUUGGAAGGGUCCUUACAGAUCACAGAAGCACAGAAUGGUUGUGUUGGAAGGGUCCUUACAGAUCACAGAAGCACAGAGCGGUUCGGUUGUGUUGGAAAGGUCCUUACAGAUCACAGAGCCACAGAGCGGUUGGGUUGUGUUGGAAGGGUCCUUACAGAUCACAGAACCACUGAAUGGUUGUGUUGGAAGGGUCCUUACAGAUCACAGAGCCACAGAGCGGUUGUGUUGGAAAGGUCCUUACAGAUCACAGAGCCACAGAGCGGUUGUGUUGGAAAGGUCCUUACAGAUCACAGAAGCACAGAGCGGUUGUGUUGGAAAGGUCCUUACAGAUCACAGAGCGGUUGUGUUGGAAAGGUCCUUACAGAUCCCCCUCUGGCUGAAGGAUUCCCCCACAUCUGACCCCACAUCUCCUCUGUGUUGGGUUCCCCCAUGUCCCAUCCCGCUGUGCCCACGCAGUCGCUCUCCUCCCAUCACCACCUCCCUCCCUGAGCCUUCCCCUCCCCACGCCGCCCCCAAACUCUCACCCUGGCCCCAUAGCAGAGCGAAACCCCACAUCCCCCACCCCCAGAGCUCCCCGAUAUGCCGCAGUGGGGGCUCUGAGGACCAUCACAGCCCCCCCCUUUGCCAUCCAUCGGGUCCUGGCAGGUAUCACCGCGAUGGCACGCGGGACGCUGAUCCCACAGCCGUACACUUCCAUUCUCACUCCUCUCGUGCAUAGGGGACGGUCGGCCGUGCCGGGAGCUCUGCGUCUCCCAUCGCCCCCAACCCCAUACGGGGACCCCAUUUAGGGCCGGGGGCGGGGUGGGGCGCCCCCUCGGGCUCAACCACUGACGGAACCUUCUCUUCUUUCUCUUUUUUCUCUCUCUCUCUCGUCCCGGGAUCCCACUCGGAAAAGGGAAGGAGAGAGGAUGGCUCGGCUGCGCGCUGCGUCUUGGGCUCGGGUUCCCUGGAUGACUUCAUCCACGUGUCCUACGAGUUCUGCUAACCGACCCGGAUACCCCAUCCCGUCCCAUCCCAUCCCCCCCUCCGACCCGGGCCCCGAGCCCGCCGGUUGCCCCUCGGCUCCGAUGCGGCCCCACGCGGGGGGCCGGGCUCCCUGGGAAGCCUCGGGGGGGAAACGUGGGGGUCUCAGCCCCACGUUGGCCGUGCUGUGGGCAGGGCUGUAGGCGCAGACUGAGCUCCCUGCGCUCGGAGCAUCGGUGGGCCAUCGGAGCGUUGGGGUGCUGCGGUUUCCGUGCCUAUUUCCUUCCCUCCCCGCACCCCACACGCUCAGGAGCCCCCCGGGGGGUGGGCACUGAGCCCCCCUGGUGGGCAGAGAGGGUUGGAGGUGAGCGUGGCUGUCCCCGUACCGCAGAGGCCUUUGGGGGAGCUUUGGGGUGCGUGCAGUGGGGAUGGGGGGCAGCGGCUCCGGGUCUCUGUGUCUGGAGGGAGGGGGGUC
ensembl:lncRNA